AUGAAGAGGUCUAGGUGCCUAUAGUGUGCCUUUUAAGGGUGAAAACAUAUAAUUUAGCAAAUGACAUCUUUCUCUACAUAUCUCAAAACAGAAUGCACCUGUCAUGAUUGAUUAUAUAUUUCCUACCUGUUCCAUGUUACAUUUUGUAUAUAUUGUGUAUUAAUAUUGUUUUUGUAUUUUAUUGCACCCUAUUGUAUCAAUGCAAUGUUUUGAGAACCCAGG